UGAGCCGGAAACAAGAUGGAGGCUGACGUGCCUCGGGACAUUUAUACACAGACAGAAACGCUGACUCCCCGAUAACGCACACGUUUCAGGCCAUGAAAAAAACAAAUACAGCCAUGAACGUGCGAUCCAGCUAGAAAACCGGAUAAUCUAGGGUUAGGGUUCGAGACGUUUUUAUUUUAUGACAACGUUAACCUUCAAAAGAAUUUCACGUUCCGGCCUUCGCAUUUCUACCUGCUGUUCAUAGAUACGGACAUGAAGCUAUUUUUAGACAAGACGUUUUUAAAAAAAAGGAUAAACGGAAUAAAGGGAUACAGUACGGAAUAGUGGACUGUUUUCUACCCAAGGCGAGAGAGCAACAAAUCAAUGAAAAAUAUCAAGGGAAAUAAAAAGUGUUCUCGAUGUGCAGAGAUUCUCCUCUUCGUCUAACAUCUCCCCGCCUCAUGUUUCCGUUUCCAGACCGAGUCUGCUGAAAUAUCUGAAAUUCCCUCGCGCGUUACGCUGGAGGAGAAAACGGCCGCGGUGCCUCAGAAGAAGCCGAGGCUCCUGGCUCGAACACAGACGGCAAAAUCUAACGGAUAAACUCGCUGGCUGCUUUUCACAGAGACUGGAUCGCAAACAAUUACCUCAGAGGCCCCUCGGGGAGAGGGAGCGAUUUAUUAGGGCAAACAUCUGCCUGCUGUUAUAUUACACUGGUGUCCAGAACACAACGUGACAUUUAAGAGAUCCGAGAAGUCAAACACUGGGGCUAAGUGAACACAGCUUAGUGAAAAUAAAUCUUUCGUAUUUAUCGCACCACAUGCAGCUCUCGGGAAAAAGCGGCCAUUCUCAAUUAGCGAUGAAGACGACGGCGGCAGAGUUUGGCGUCAAAGCCACGAUUUCGUCCCGUUCAGGCUGGUGGAGGUGGUGUGACGGUGCGAGGAAGGUUUUCUUGACAAACGCCGGGCACCUUAAUUCCAAUCGAGCAUCGACCACUUAAUAACGUCGCUAAACUGCGUGAACACGACGAGUUCAGGGUACUUCCACGGCCCGGCCAGACCUCAGAGAUUUGAAAAAUGGUGAACGCGCCGUUUAUCCUUCGACAGAAAACUGAAAAAAAGCCGCCGCGAAAUCGAGCGUUUUUUUGGCCACGACGAUCACAGAUAAAGGACUCCGCGAAAUCCUGUACUUUAUGUUUUUAUCACAUUUUUUCCUACACAAAUUCAAUUAAAACGCCCUGGUGUCCAUUUACUUUGAAUUGAAAUUACACCUGAAAUAAUGCACAGCCGGAAGCCGGCGGUUCGGCGGAGUACUCGCGCUUCGAAACCCGACCGCUCACGUGGUGUACGCGGCUCCAGACUGACACGUGCAAACAAUCGGCUAUUUUAACGAGCAUCUGAACAGAUCCUCACCAGCCGAGUCACGUGUCCCAGAGUGAAGAAAAGCCGUGGAAAGAAAACGAUGGCAACGGACGUCUUGUUUACGUGAACGCUUCAGCUUGGAUCACAUGAUAAGGAGCAGGUCAAGUUGCACAACUUCUGCCUUGUCUUGCGCUGGGGAACCACAAACAGGACGCAGAUGAUGUGUCGUGUAAUUUCCGCCUGUACGUUAACUAUUUAUACGUCCACGAUCGGCCAAUAUUCUGUUCAUGGCUCAUCAGCCAAUCAUGUUGGAGCAGUGCAUGAAACCAUGUGGAUACAGGGCUUUUAAAUGAAAUAAUACUAAUCUCAGUGAAUUGUUUUUGGUUGUUGGUGUGAGCUUUAAUCCGUCCAGUUAAUCCCAAAACCGUUUUAAAAAUGUAAAAUAAAUAAAUAAAUAAAUAAAAAACGUACAACAUCGUCCACCGUCUUGUUUGUUCUGAGCUGAGUUUGAAUGGGUCACAUGACUGCAUCACAUGACUACAAACACAUCGUUGUUUUUUUGAAUAUCUCCGUUUUCUCAAUCCACGCUACAAAGCGAAAACGGCGGCUUCGUAUUCAUCCGCUCGGGAGAGCGUUUUCAAAAAGCUCCGUUUUCGCUGGACGCCGUCCAGGUGUGGACGUGAGGCCAGAAACGUAGAGAACAGUAUGUGUUUCCGAAUGUAUCUGGAUGAGCAUUAUCUGCACACCAGUCUGUAACACAGAAUGGUGCGAAAAACAAAAAACACCUAGUGUGGAAACGCCUUGUCGGCGAGACAGGAAGAGGAGGCGGGGAACGUUCAGGCUGGUUCGAGGCUGACAGGAAGCCUACGGUAACUCUGUACACCCGCGGUAAGCGGAAAAGCAUCUCGACACGUCGAAACUUCAAUCGGACGCAGAGGAACGCAUCGGGUUCCGCUCCUGAUAACGGUAAGCUCCAAAACCGGACAGCUAAAGAAUGUAAAAAAAAAAAAAAAAGAACAGCCUCUCUACCUCUGAACACGAGAUAAUAUAAGGUGCUGAAUGUCAAAUACAGUAUUUAUAAAGGACUCAUCGAUGCUUGGGCCGGCAUAAAAUUUUCAUGCCGCUAUUAUCGCAUUAUGUUGAUCUGUUGCUGUCUCAUAGACCGUUAAUGACUCCGUAAACAAUUCACCGUACGUCACCGUACGCGACCGCUAUUUACUCGCAAGCGCUACACGUAAAUAAAGAUCGACAGAAAAGUAAAAAAAACGUCACCGAUAACAUCGCGACCGAUAACGUCGCGUCGUCUUAAAAAUCUCUGGAAAAAUACGUCGCUCUUACUGAAGACAGAUUAAAAAGCAUCUCUUCAUGCGUCCCGUCCGAGACGAAUCGAUGACCCUGCAGACGAAGUACGACGCUGCGUAAUGCAAGACGGACCAACGGUUCGUGUUUCACCUCACACACGCCCACGGUGUCCUUCAAAAGAAUCAAUACAACGUUGAAGGUAUGAGCCAUAUCAAGAAGUCACGUUGUGAACGCGUGAAUCCGUAACAGCGCGCUAAAACACGCAUAAUUAAUAACUAAAGCAUAAAGAACUCCCAAUAUCCCAAUCUGAAUUUAAUUCUAAAGAAUGAAAAGUUCAUCGCUCUUCGAAAGGGCGUGCCUGGAUUAUUAUGCUGUUAUAUUUUCGUUAUAUCGGCGGAAUAAAAUGGGCUUGAAAUGACAAUAAUAUCGUUUAUUGCGAUUAUUUCUGGGACAAUAUAUCAUCCAACAACAGCAGUUAUGGUGACAGGAGGACUAUACAGCGUGACUAACAGUGCAUACUAUUACAAAACUGGAGAAAUGGAUUCU